AUGCCAAGCCCUAGUUCCAUCUUUCCAUGCCUGGCAUUUCACCCUCCAUCCUGAACAGUGACUGAAGUCCAUGGUGGGGGAAGAAGGCUGUGCUUAGUCUCCUGCCUUUGCAGUCCAGUGUGGAGCUGUACCUGACAUACCACCAGUAUAGCAUGAAUGGAAUGCUCUGCACAAGAAGCUCACUUCUCCUCCCUCUGAAACUUGAGAAGAAUUCAAGAAUAGUCACAAGUGAACAUAAAGCUCCUUCUCCUGUGCUUGGAAGACUGACGUGCAGCUGGAGAGGCAGUACAUGAAGAACGACCAUUUUCUCCUCGGGGCCCUGGCAUGAGCUGGUAUACAUGACUGACAGCUUCGCCCUGCCACAAUGGGAGAGGACGUCCUGCUCGUGCUAGUAAGCCCACAGAGGGGGCAGCCAGGGAGAGGGGACACAGCUGGAGGCUGGGGACACUGCAAAUGACAGGUAUCAUCAAGAAGGGUAGGUGGGGGUAGGCCUGAGUAAAUUUGGGUCCAUCUCAGCUAAUGGGGACCCCAUUCACUGGCGCACAUCUUUGGCUACUGAUGUUGUAAACCCUGGAUCCCUAGGCCUGGAACAUCCAAGAGGAGAUGCUGUAUACCCUUCAUGUCCUAGACCAUCUCUGGCAGAGAGGCGCAUACUUAUUCCAGGCGGCUCCUCUAGGAAAUGCAGCAGACUACCUAACCAGUGUCUACUGCUACUUUUGGGUACCGCCCCGCCCACACCACCUUGUUUGGAUUAUCUUUUGAUUUCUAUGUGGACCUGCUUUAUCUUUGGGAACUUACCCUAGUACUAAUGCAGUUGGUACUGGUUAUAAUGACUGGUUAUAUAUGACAAUGUUAUAAUAACAUUGGGUUAUGUUCCCAAUGAAGGAGAUGCCAUUGUUUAGACUGACUUGAAGAAUAAAAUCCCUAAGGCACAGAAAAGAGAUUGGAUGAUGGGAAGAGUCCUGUUCCCAUUCAGUUUGCUCAAACUGUUUGCACACAUCAAUCACCAGUGUAAUGAUGCUGAAAUCCUAGCACAGGGACUCCCCGAGAGUGGACAGGUAGGCAGAGAAACUACCCCCCCCCCCCAAAGCAUAAAGCGUCAACCUCUGCAGUGAUGGUGACAGUUGCGUACCAGGCUGCCAUAAGAGGCCUGCAUGUCAUAUGGUCCUAGUGGCCAGCAGCUAAAGAACCAGGAAGGUGCUCAAAUGCAGGUUUGAACCCUCGAACCCAUUGUCUUCUGCAUCCUGUCCUCAGCAGAGCCUGGGCACUAUGUAUUCCUGAAUACCACCAGGGUCACUACCAGGGGCAUAUAGAAAGGAAAUGGAACCCACAGGUGGAAGACAGGUGCUCUAUAGCAGAGGGGACACCCCAGAUUUUCCACGAGCUGGCAGACACAAACCAUAAGCUCCCCAUUAAGGCAUCCAGGCAAAGGCACUUCCUCACUCUGAUAAACACUGACCAUUGGACUCUAAGGCCCCCAGCAAGGAGCACUUACUCUCCAGUAUUUUUAAUUUUUGGUCCAGGACAAGUUAUGCUGUGUUCAUUUACACCACUGGGACUCUCAUCUAAAAGAAAAUGACACAAGAUUAUCAAUAUGGAUGUCCUUUUUCCACUGUCAGCCCUGGCUGAGAACUGACCCUGGUUGAGGACUGCCUUCUGCCCCCUGCCUCUUGUUUUUGUUAGAGGACACCUGCCCAGCACUGAACAGCUCUCAGCAGGCACCUGUAGGGAGGCCUCUUGCAUCCUAGGCUGCAUUUGUUAGGGGUGAGAGCCAAACUAGAAACACAGGACAUAAAAGUCAGAGUGCAGAGUGCUUUGAGCAGAGAGAGCAGUGGGCAUGUUGCAGGAGAGACAGGUGCUCAGGUGACUCGCCCCUUCUUUUAGAAGGAUGACGUCAUAUUUAAGGAAGCAGAAGUAUUUACACAUGAAAUGAUGCCUUGCCUGGAAUUUAAAGGUGCUCAGUGAUGAUAGUGGUAGGGAACUGGACUCGGUGGGUCGAGACUUACUGAGAGUAGGCCGUGGGUGCUUCAGGACCAGGCACACUUCUGGGUACUUGUGUUUGGUGUGCCAAAUCCACUGAAAUAGAUUCUGGGUGGGUUGCUGCUAUUUGGGCUAGGACUGGUCAGGGUGUGGUCUGAGGGUUGGGGCUCUGUGGGAAGUGAAGGAGGCACCUGGCGAGGUGCCAAGCUUGCCAAGGGAGUGAGUGAGCGAGGAAUUGUGGGUAGAAACUUGGGCUUCCCUGCCAGUGUUAUAGAUCUGUCAGGGGCUAGGAAGGCUCCAGGUCCAACUUGGACCUGAAGGCAUCACAACCUGCUGGUGGGCUGGGUACAGGGGCAGGAUGAAAGUAAUGGUAUCCAAGGUUAGACCCAGGAAGUGGGUGGGCGGAUGCUUGUUUACAGAACAGGAAAAGCCAUGAAAGGGAAGAGAGUUUUUCUUUCCCUGCAUUGGUGGGAGCCUGAGAAGUAUUUUGUGACUGUGACUGAAGACUACUCCCACUCUUUGACAGACAGUAUCAUCCUGGUCCACUGAGCUGGGGCAAAUGCCAAGCGCCAAGCUGGAUACCCACUGGCUUGGCUUCCAACUUCCCAAUCCCUGGUCUCUCUGUGAUGUAAUUCUGGCCUUCCCAGAAAGGGUUUUCUAGGCAUCUUCUAGACUUAGUCUGGGGAUGCUGCUCUGUAGACUCUAGGUCCUGGUAUUCAGCUCUCAAGAAGACAGGCUAAAUGGAUGCUGCACGGGUCAGGCCAGCAUCGUGCCAGCCUCUAGAAGCCCUUGGGAACUGAAGGGUUUAUUCUUCCCCCAUGCUUGUAUAAAGGGAGAAUGGCUAGGCCGGCUGCUUAGUCCUUUUUCUUGGCCUAUGCUGCCUUUAGCUCCCCAUACCUGUGGAACAUGGUCAGCAAAGGCAGGAGGCUUGGCUGACUUAGGGAAAUGGUCCCGUGUGGUAAUAGUGCACCCCAGAGGUACCAAGGGGCUACUUACCAACGACUCUGGCGUCAUUGAACGUGAAUCUGCAAAUAACUUGCUUUACGUCGUUAACAUUUACUUGGUAGGCGUCUGCAAGAACAACAUAGACUCGUUGGGGCAAGGAAGAGCAGGGAGCAGGGUUCUCCCUAGUCUCACCUUUCACAGAAGGCUGCCCUGAAGAUGGAAUUCUCAGGUGCCUUUACGAAACAGCCCCAGUGUCUGAACCAUCACCCAUGGGACUUGUAGAGGAGGCAAAUCCGCAUCUGCUGUCACUGCACUUCUGUGCUAAUGUAGCCGGAGGGGGCUUGCAUAGCCUUACUGUGAUCCCUGACCCAACAAGUCCAAACUCCACAAGAGAGUCCCAGCCUGUUCCAAGCUAGACCAGCUCAGCUGAAACCUUCCUGCUCUGAGAUCUCAUGCACUCCUUAAUCAACACGGGCACGGUAGCACAGCUAGGGCCUCCUUUGCACAAGGGAGGGGCUAGUUCCCUACCUGUGGUACCAUUGAGAAUGAAGAAUAUCAUUUUCCCCCUGUGAUCUAUGGUGUGGAAAUACAGACCUCAGGAGCUGGGACUGGGACAGAGAGAACAGGUCCAGUCCCUGGCACCUUAGAGAGUCCCUCCCAGGAGCUGGACAGUCUCAGACACAGGGCCAGAGGCCAGCACCUUCUUCUUCAUUCUCAUCUUCCCCAUCACUCUGGGGAUUAGCAAGGUCUUCUAACAUCAGAGGAGCAGUUCCCUGACGCUGACACCAAUAUAGAAAGGACACAGAGAGGACAGCUGACAGGAGGUUCUGCAGGCAGGACUCCUCCACCCUGUCCUCAUUUGCUUUCACGGCUACUUAGGGGCCUGGGUCUCAUUCAUUACUGUCCCCCAUGCAUUUCAGUGCCUUAGGGUAGUUGAUUAAGGACUCUCUUUACAAGGUUCCUCCCCAGACUCCAUAGCACACAGGUUGACUUUGGUGCGAUUUCAAGCCAACAGCUAAUUCUGCUUCAUUUGGAGGUACAGGAAGCCUUAGGAUUCCCCGGAAGUGACAGGUCUCCUCCUCCUCCUCAU